rnacentral:rRNA from 1 species
ACGGUAGCACAGAGGAGCUUGCUCCUUGGGUGACGAGUGGCGGACGGGUGAGUAAUGUCUGGGAAACUGCCCGAUGGAGGGGGAUAACUACUGGAAACGGUAGCUAAUACCGCAUAACGUCGCAAGACCAAAGAGGGGGACCUUCGGGCCUCUUGCCAUCGGAUGUGCCCAGAUGGGAUUAGCUACUAGGUGGGGUAACGGCUCACCUAGGCGACGAUCCCUAGCUGGUCUGAGAGGAUGACCAGCCACACUGGAACUGAGACACGGUCCAGACUCCUACGGGAGGCAGCAGCGGGGAAUAUUGCACAAUGGGCGCAAGCCUGAUGCAGCCAUGCCGCGUGUCUGAAGAACGCCUUCGGGUUGUAAAGUACUUUCUGCGAGGAGGA